rnacentral:piRNA from 1 species
UUUAAGACUGGUGCCCGGAGCCUGGAGCCC